AUGAACCUCACUCAAGAGAGACAAAAGCUGCAGACUAAGAUCACCAACCUCACUCAAGAGAGACAACAGCUACUAACCAACAAUAUGAACCUCACUCAAGAGAGACAACAGCUGAAUACUAAGAUCAUCAACCUCACAGAAGAGAGAGACCAGUUGAAAUCAGAAAAAAAUGAACUUCGGAAGAAUUUUGCGGAUGGAUGGAAGUGUCAUCAAUCCAGUUUUUAUUUCUUUUCCUCUGAGAUGAAGAACUGGAAUGAGAGCAGAAGAUACUGUAGAGAGAGAGGAGCAGAUCUGAUCAUCAUCAACAACAGAGAGGAACAAGAUUUUGUGAAGAAUAUUUCUGUUGGUUCUGAAUAUUUCUGGAUUGGUUUGACUGAUAUUGAAGAGGAGGACA